rnacentral:rRNA from 1 species
UUUUAAAUAAGAUAUUAAUAUUAAUAUUAGUUAUUGAAAAUAUUAUUUUUAUUGUUUAUAAUGUUACUAUUUUUUAUUUUAUUUAUUUUUUAAAAAUUUUUUAUUUUUUAAAUUUUUAUUUUUUUAAAAAGUUUUUAUUUUUUAAAAAAGUUUUUUAUUUUUUUUAAAAAGUUUUUAUUUUUUAAAAUUUUUUAUUUUUAAAGUUUUUAUUUUUAAAAAUUUUUAUUUUUUAUUUAAGUUUUUUUAUUAAAAUUAUUUAAUUUAAGAGAAAAUAUUAAAAAUUAAUUAUUAUGCUUAUUUAUUCAUAUAUGUUAUUAUGUAAUUUUUUAAAUUAGUAUAAAAAAUUAAGUUAAUUUAAUAAAAAUUAUUAAAUUUUAAAAAAUAAAUUAAUAAAUAUUGGUUUUAUAAAUAUUUAUAAAUCAAUAUAUAAUUAUAUAUAUAUAUUUAUUAAUAUAAAAUUAAUAUUUAUAUAUAUAUAAUUAUUUAUAAAUUAAUAUAUAAUUAGAGAAUAAAAUAAUAUAUAUAUAUUUAUAUAAUUAUAAAUAUAUAUAAUAUUAUAUAUAUAUAUAUAUAUAUUUUAUUUUAAAUAAAUAAAAUAUAACAAAAAAAAAAAAAAAACUCAUUUUAUUAUUUAUUAUUAAUAUUUAAAUUAAUUAAUAAAAAAAAAUAUUUAUAAUAUAAAAUAGUUAAUUUUAUAUUUAAAAUUUUAUACUAAAUAAUAAAAUUAUAUAUUAAAUACUAUGAAUAAAUAAAAAUUAUAAUAUAUAUAUAUAUAUAUAUAUAUAUAUAUAAAUAUUUUUAUAUAUAUAUAUAUAUA